rnacentral:rRNA from 1 species
AACCCUUAGUCCUUAGUUACCAUCAUUCAUUGGGACUCUAAGGAGACUGCCGAUGUAAAUCGGAGGAAGGUGGGGGAUGACGUCAAAUCAUCAUGCCCUUUAUGUCCUGGGCGACACACGUGCUACAAUGGCCGGUACAAAGAGACGCCAACCAGCGAUGGUGCGCAAAUCUCAAAAAGCCGGUCUCAGUUCAGAUCGAAGUCUGCAACUCGACUUCGUGAAGGCGGAAUUGCUAGUAAUCGCGAAUCAGCCAUGUCGCGGUGAAUACGUUCCCGGGGUUU